UUUUUCUCAUCUAACUUCCAGUUCAUUAAUUCUCUUCUUAUUGAGUCUAAUCUCCUAUUUUAGCAAACCAUUAACAAUUUUUAUUUCAAUUUAUUAUAUUUGUUAUUUCUAGAAGCCUAUUCAUUUUCUUUAAAUUGCUUAAUCAUUUUAUAGUCUCAUUUCCAUCAUCCUUCUUCUGAGGAUUCAGGUUUUGUUUUUUUUUAACAAAAUAAACAUUCUGUUUUACAAUAGUGUCUGAUAUUUUCACAGGUGAAAUCUUUGACAGUCUGAUUCUUCCGUCCUCUAAUCCUGACGUAUUUCAUCUUUUAAGCCUUUUUUUUUGUUGGCAUUUCUUGCAAACUCCUUUUAAAUGUGUUUCUCAUUAUUUUCCUUGGAAACUUUACCAGUAGGAAUUCCUGGAGACCUAGGUUAAAGUUGUGUUCCCUCAGAGAGGUCUCCCGUAUGCUUCUGCCAGUUGCCUGGUGGUACUACCCAUCUGGAGAUCACUUAAAAUUCAAUUCUCCACUUGAAUUUCAAUUUUAACAUGCAGGUGGACUCAGAAAAUAUUUUGCCAGAAGGAGCAAGUUUGUUAUUUGAUACAGAGAGCAUCAGCAGAACCCUGGGAGGCAUACAGUCAUCUGAACCUGACCCAUAACUGCAGGGAACAAGCCAGAUAAGAAAAUGACA